UACAGAGGGUGCAAGCGUUAAUCGGAUUUACUGGGCGUAAAGGGCGCGUAGGUUGUUGCGUAAGUGAGAUGUGAAAUCCCCGGGCUUAACCUGGGAACUGCGUCUUAUACUGCGUAACUGGAGUGCAAUAGAGGGUAGUGGAAUUUCCGGUGUAGCGGUGAAAUGCGUAGAUAUCGGAAGGAACACCAGUGGCGAAGGCGGCUACCUGGAUUGACACUGACACUGAGGCGCGAGAGCGUGGGGAGCAAACAGG
rnacentral:rRNA from 1 species